UACGUAGGUGGCAAGCGUUGUCCGGAUUUACUGGGUGUAAAGGGCGUGUAGCCGGGCUGACAAGUCAGAUGUGAAAUCCGGGGGCUCAACCCCUGAACUGCAUUUGAAACUGUUGGUCUUGAGUAUCGGAGAGGCAGGCGGAAUUCCUAGUGUAGCGGUGAAAUGCGUAGAUAUUAGGAGGAACACCAGUGGCGAAGGCGGCUCUCUGGUCUGUAACUGACGCUGAGGUUCGAAAGCGUGGGUAGCAAACAGG
rnacentral:rRNA from 1 species